rnacentral:tRNA from 1 species
CAGUAUAGAAAUCAGACUCAUAAUCUGGAGGUCCCAGGUUCAAGCCCUGGCUGGUCCA